ACGAUUUGUUUUUGUUAAAGGAGUCUGGUCUUGAAGAGAGCGGAGAUAACAGCUUCACUUCCCCGUUGUAAAG